UACGUAGGGUGCGAGCGUUAAUCGGAAUUACUGGGCGUAAAGCGUGCGCAGGCGGCUUUGCAAGACAGAUGUGAAAUCCCCGGGCUGAACCUGGGAACUGCACUUGUGACUGCAUGGCUGGAGUACGGCAGAGGGGGAUGGAAUUCCGCGUGUAGCAGUGAAAUGCGUAGAUAUGCGGAGGAACACCGAUGGCGAAGGCAAUCCCCUGGGCCUGUACUGACGCUCAUGCACGAAAGCGUGGGGAGCAAACAGG
rnacentral:rRNA from 1 species